AAUUCAUUGAUCGCAUAUCAGAGGUUCUCUCAACUUGCUCAUACCGCAAAACAGAAAGAGAGAAAAGGGUAAGAGAGCGCAACGAUUCAAGGGAGCAGGAACUGCUUAAGGAGGAAACUGAGCAACACUUAACUAUAUGUAGAAAUGUUAGUGUUUUAUCUCAACACAGCCCCUAUUUCUCUCUCUCUCUCUCUCUCUCUAUAUAUAUAUAUAUAUAUAACAGGAUCUUAGACUCACCUUCGUUAGUUUCUCUGUUUCAUGAACUCAGAUCAGCACUUGCCUGGGAACUAUGGUGAAAAACCUCAAGGCAUCAUUCUUGCCCCUUUUUGACAAAUUUUUGCCUCAUGUAUCACUUAUGUGGAGUAAUGAUAGAACAGCAGAAGAAAGAAGAAUAGUAGUGCACCUUUUCCGUGAUGUCGCUGAGCAGUGCCGAGAAGAUGCAUUCAGGCAAGUCUUGUCUUUUGUGCUUUCAGUCUCUUAUUAGUCAAGGAUAAGCACAAUUGGCUUUACCUGAACUUCAUUUUUGAUUAUCUAAAAGCAGGUACUAUGAGGAUUGGAUACCUCUCCUGCUUAGAGUUUACGAUCAUAACAAUCCAGAUGUUCAGCAGGUUUUAUUCCCCUACUUUUACAGUUGUUUCCCUAGAAAUCAGCCUUAUAUAUUUCAAAUCUGACAUUCUAUAUUUUUCAGUUAGUAGCAACUGCAGUUGGUAUUUGUGCAGAAUUCGGAGGCAAUAUCCUCAAGCCUCAUACUAUAGGUAAUUUGUGCAUUAUAAUAUGCUUAAGAUAUUUAUUUCUCCACUAGCAAGACUGACUUAGCUUUCUAAUGUUGUUUCAGUAAUAUUCAAUCAUUUAAAAUCUGUAAUGGAGCAUCCCAAUGCAAAAAGCGCGGAUAACAUCAUGGCUUACGAGGCUGCCAUUUCUACCUGUGGGAAGUUAAGUCAGUUUGUCUGGGAAGGCAUUUACACCUUUAAGGUUCCUCUCUUACUACUCCUUCCCUAUAUCAACAUGCCAUUAGAGAAAUAAAAUGGAUUUCACAUCGAUAGAAAGAAAGUCCCCGUCUUUCUCUGUAUCAGUAGUAGCAUCAGCCUCAUCAUUAUUAUAAAUAACACACAUUCAGUUUGCACUAAAAGAAAACUUCAUACGCUAGAAUACACAAACCCUCAACACAAAUUUACGACUUCUCUUGAUAAAUUUGUGGUUUAUUGAAUGACAUAUUAUGAACUUCGUUGUCUUUCUUGAUUUACGAAACUAUUUUACGUGGCAGUUUAUCUUGCUUUGGCUUAACCACUUACCAAUAAGGUGUAAUUUGGAUGAGGCUAAAGUCAGUCACGAACUUCUUUGUUCGAUGAUGGAAACGUAAGUUUUUUUUUUUUUUUUUUUUUUUUUUUUUU